UGGGGGAUAACGCAUCGAAAGAUGUGCUAAUACCGCAUAUACUCUGAGGAGGAAAGUAGGGGAUCGAAAGACCUUAUGCUUUUGGAGCGGNCCGAUGUCUGAUUAGCUAGUUGGUAAGGUAAUGGCUUACCAAGGCGACGAUCAGUAGUUGGUCUGAGAGGACGGCCAGCCACACCGGGACUGAGACACGGCCCAGACUCCUACGGGAGGCAGCAGUGGGGAAUUUUGGACAAUGGGCGCAAGCCUGAUCCAGCAAUGCCGCGUGAGUGAAGAAGGCCUUCGUGUUGUAAAGCUCUUUCAGUCGAGAAGAAAAGGUUGUGACUAAUAAUCAUAACUCAUGACGGUAUCGACAGAAGAAGCACCGGCUAACUACGUGCCAGCAGCCGCGGUAAUACGUAGGGUGCGAGCGUUAAUCGGAAUUACUGGGCGUAAAGGGUGCGCAGGCGGNUCUGUAAGUCAGAUGUGAAAUCCCCGGGCUUAACCUGGGAACUGCGUUUGAAACUACAAGGCUAGAAUCACUAGUGCGGNCGCUGCAGGUCGACCAUAUGGGAGAGCUCCCA
rnacentral:rRNA from 1 species